rnacentral:rRNA from 1 species
UACAGAGGGGGCGAGCGUUGUUCGGAAUUACUGGGCGUAAAGGGCGCGUAGGCGGCCUCUUAAGUCGAACGUGAAAUCCCUCGGCUCAACCGAGGAACUGCGUCUGAUACUGGAAGGCUUGAAUCCGGGAGAGGGAUGUGGAAUUCCAGGUGUAGCGGUGAAAUGCGUAGAUAUCUGGAGGAACACCGGUGGCGAAGGCGGCAUCCUGGACCGGUAUUGACGCUGAGGCGCGAAAGCUAGGGGAGCAAACGGG